rnacentral:lncRNA from 1 species
UUCUAGAGGCUGGACAGUCCAAGAUCAAGGUGCCUGCAUCUGGCAUCUAGUGUGGGCCCUAUUCCUGGUUUGCAGCACUGUUGGUGCUCCUGAGGGUGUCAGCCAGGCCACUCAUGCAGACCAUUGCAGCAGCACUGAAAAUGGAAGAAAGAUGGGAUUCUGCUGUCUUUUGUUUUGGCUGAUGAACAGCACCGAGGUGGAGUGGCUCCAGCAGCCAGAACAAGCCACCAUCUCCCCUGGGCUUUCACAGUAGCCUCCUGACUGGUCUUGUUGCGUCGACAGUUACACUUCCUGUUCUCUGCAAGGCAACCGGAGUGACCUUUCACUAAUCCUUGUAUGACCUCUAAAAAUAUGACCUGAAGCAGAUGGAUGCACUCACAUAAGAAACAUCACCUGUGGCCUUCAUUGAAAAUGGGCCUGCUGCUCUAAGAGGUUGGGAUCUUGGAGUCCUUUAGCACAGGGGCCUUGAAAAUCAAUGACUUCCUUGUUUGCUGAUGGAGCAGAGGUAGAAUCUCUUGGUG